rnacentral:misc_RNA from 1 species
CUAAGCAAAUACCCUUUUCUUUGACACAAACAAAAUUCUAAAAAAGAAAAAGCCGAAUAACAGGCAAAUGAAUCAAAAGAUGUGUAUUCAGGUAUCUUUCAACAGAAGCUCAAGUAAUCCAAACAUGUGACUCUAUGUAUCCAGUUAUAAAAUCCUGAAACUACACACAAUAAUUAGUUUGCUUUCCAGAAAUAAGAAACAAGAAAUGUAGGGUUCCCUGUCAGCAUGCCACUUCAAGCACCGCCUUGCAACUGCAACACCAUGGCAUAACAACACAUAACCAGUUAUAAAAUCCGGAAACUGCAACUGCAAGCAUCAUAACAGAACAGAGUUAGUAACCAUAUGAAUUAGCAGCUGCAGGUAGCAAGGGAUGAUCAAUCUAUCUUGGCAGAUGUGUACAAAGUGCUAGCUAUAAUAGUUGUACAAUAUAGCACAUGGUUUGGUUAGGUAUGAUUUAUAAUAUAAAUCAAAAUAAACCAAACAGCAACAAAACAAAUUAGUCCAGUUUGUAUAACAUAUGAUAAUUCAACCCAAAAAAUUCUUAAAAUACCUAUGGAUAUCAACUUCCUUAGAAUAUAUAUUCACAAACAAACCUGAAAAUACUGAUUAUUAGUAAUGGGAAACUAGAGGCACCAAAAGAUUAAUAACACAUAGAAAAGCCCACUGAAACAGCAUUAUAACAAAUCAAACAUAAAUCAUUGUGGAGGCCAAUCAAAAUUUAUUUUGUUGCCACAGUUAUAGCACAUGUUAAUAGUUUGAGAAACUACGCACAAGUCUUAAAUUAAGACAAUGAUAAAAUGGUUUAAUGGGCUGAUUAGAUGAAGCAAUAUCAACGAGACAAUAACCAACAUACCCCAGUAGACCUCUGCCUUGCCAUGCUCUUGGAGUUACUGUUACAUUGAAUGGGGCACCUUGCCUCAAAACUACAACAGGUAUAGCAUGACCCUGAUUUGCCUGAGCCUCGGUAGCAAGACUUUGCAGAAGAUUAUCACCAACUUUAUAUUCCACACUGCCAAAUUUAACAAUCUGAUCUCCAAGCUGUAAACCAUCCUCUGCUGUAGGGGAUCCAUCCGCUAUUUCAUCAACCACUGCAAAGGGUAUGCUGACAAUCACAUCCAAAUCCAUGGAACUGGGAGACUCUCCCAGAACAACAUUGUGGGAGGAUGCAGAUGCAGCAGUGCCAGUUGAUAAGUCUUGAUUAUUUGAUGCUCCAUCAUGGCCUUGCAAAUAAGAAAAACUAUUCAGCUGAUUGCACACAAAAGGUCAUUACUUUAUCCAGAUAUUCAAACAACAGUUUUAAAGAGACAAGAUGGAAAACCAUUGCAAGUUGUCCUAUGGGACUCAACUAUAGUAAUAACACUGUAUUUGAGCUAAAGAAGCAUCAAUUAAUGGAAGGAUUAUAACAGGAUAUAAGCACAAAUGAUUAUGUAUAUUUUGAAAAUGAAUUAAAAAAUGUCAAACCAAAGAAUGGUCAUUGCUAAAUCAAACUUGUUUAUUUCGAAGUUUUCUCUCAUUCAAAUGGCAAUAUGGAUUAGGUCCAUUCUAUCACUUUCCAUAAUUGUGCUAAAAAAGAGUUAUAACAUAUAUCUAGUGCAGAAUUAGGCCCUUUUCCCUGUGGAAAAUAAGAUCGUGCACAACAUGCAAAUACCAAUGAAAUGGACAGACAACACCAGCUUCAAGUCAGUUCCGCCAAGUUACAUCAGCAGACGAGCUUUAUUCAAUAUUUUGCUCAAUAGAUCUCAUUAAACUUUCAGUAUCUACCUGAAUCCUUACGGGAUGAUGGCCUAGAAGCAAGCCUAGCUGAAUGCAGAGCUAGUAUAUUUUCAGAUAUUUUCUCUGUGAUCUCCUUGUGAUCACUUCGCAGCACAGCAAGACGAUUCCGUUCUGCUCUCACAGCAGGAAUGUCAAUAUCUGCACGAGGAAAUCCCUCAGCGUCGACGAGGUUGCCGGAGAGACCAGGACCGCCGGGAUGGCAGAGGCGCUCAAUGAUACCGUUCAUCUCCGCUUCGAUGGAGCUUCUCUUCUCUGCAAGCUUCAUUGUUUCUGCUUUCAGAUUUGUGGCCACCAUUCUGUGCUUGAAUUGGUGCUGGAUUAUGGCUUUGCCUAUAGGUAAUUAGGGUUUUACGGGUUAGACUUGAAAGAGAAGAAAAAGGACCAGGUGAGUCUUUCGGUAAAUGGUUCUGGACAGUUCCGUCAAUUCUCUUUAUGUAAUG